rnacentral:rRNA from 1 species
AACGAACGCUGGCGGCAUGCCUAACACAUGCAAGUCGAACGAUGCCUUCGGGCAUAGUGGCGCACGGGUGCGUAACGCGUGGGAAUCUGCCCUUGGGUUCGGAAUAACUCAGAGAAAUUUGAGCUAAUACCGGAUGAUGACGUAAGUCCAAAGAUUUAUCGCCCAAGGAUGAGCCCGCGUAAGAUUAGCUAGUUGGUGGGGUAAAGCCUACCAAGGCGACGAUCUUUAGCUGGUCUGAGAGGAUGAUCAGCCACACUGGGACUGAGACACGGCCCAGACUCCUACGGGAGGCAGCAGUGGGGAAUAUUGGACAAUGGGCGAAAGCCUGAUCCAGCAAUGCCGCGUGAGUGAUGAAGGCCUUAGGGUUGUAAAGCUCUUUUACCAGGGAUGAUAAUGACAGUACCUGGAGAAUAAGCUCCGGCUAACUCCGUG